UACGUAGGGGGCUAGCGUUGUCCGGAUUUAUUGGGCGUAAAGAGCGUGUAGGCGGCCAUGUAAGUCCGGUGUGAAAACUCGAGGCUUAACCUCGAGAUGUCAUCGGAAACCAUUUGGCUAGAGUCCGGAAGAGGAGAGUGGAAUUCCUGGUGUAGCGGUGAAAUGCGCAGAUAUCAGGAAGAACACCAAUGGCGAAAGCAGCUCUCUGGGACGGUACCGACGCUGAGACGCGAAAGCGUGGGGAGCGAACAGG
rnacentral:rRNA from 1 species